rnacentral:rRNA from 1 species
AGCAAAUAGAUAUCCAGGUAGUCCACGCUGUAAACGAUGGGUACUAGAUUUGGUGGGUCUUGACCCCCGCCGAAAUCGGCGCUAAACGCACUAAGUACCCCGCCUGGGAAGUACGGUCGCAAGACUAAAAACUCAAAGGAAUUGACGGGGGCCCGCACAAGCGGUGGAUCAUGUGGUUUAAUUCGAAGCAACGCGAAAAACCUUACCUGGAUUUGACAUCCCCUGACAGCCGUAGAGAUACGGUUUCGGUAGCAAUACCGCAGGGAGACAGGUGCUGCAUGGCUGUCGUCAGCUCGUGUGGUGACAUGUUGGGUUAAGUCCCGCAACGAGCGCAACCCCUGUCCUUAGUUGCCAGCAUUUAGUUGGGCACUCUAGGGAGACUGCCGUGGUUAACACGGAGGAAGGUGGGGAUGACGUCAAGUCCUCAUGGCCUUUAUAUCCAGGGCGACACACGUGAUACAAUGGACGGUACAGAGGGAUGCCAAGUGGCAACACGGAGCUAAUCUCAAAAAGCCGUUCUCAGUUCGGAUUGGAGUCAGCAACUC